rnacentral:misc_RNA from 1 species
AGAAGAGUUCCGCAAAAAGAAAGCAGAGAAGGCAAAAAAGUCAACUUCCAAUAAUCAACCUCAUGGUUCGGGUGGAGGCUUUGAUAACCAACCUUCAGACAGUGAACACACAAGAAUCACUGACUCUCGUGGAGCUGGUACAUCUGAUGCCCUUGAUGGAGCUGUUUCAGAGUUAUCUCGAGUAGACGUUACACAUGAUUUCAAGAAUCCUGAUCUUGCACAGAAGAGUGGUUUCGCUUCUUCCUAUGAAGCUAAUGCUAGUCCUACUCAUAGUUUACACAACAAUGAUAAUGAUGCUAGCGCUACUUCUACUAUUAGUGGAAACA